AGCGAACGUUAGCGGCAGGCUUAACACAUGCAAGUCGAGCGAGAAAGGGGCUUCGGCCCUGAGUAAAGCGGCGGACGGGUGCGUAACACGUGGAUAAUCUGCCCUUCAGUGGGGAAUAACGUUCCGAAAGGAACGCUAAUGCCGCAUGUCACAGCAAUGUCUCUGGACAAAGUUGGAAAAGGGGACGCCCGCAAGGGGUUCUCGCUGGAGGAUGAGUCCGCGGCCCAUCAGCUUGUUGGCGGGGUAAUGGCCCACCAAGGCGAAGACGGGUAGCUGGUCUGAGAGGAUGACCAGCCACACUGGGACUGCGACACGGGCCAGACUCCUACGGGAGGCAGCAGUAAGGAAUAUUGCGCAAUGGGCGAAAGCCUGACGCAGCGACGCCGCGUGGGGGAUGAAGGUCUUCGGAUUGUAAACCCCUUUCGGGAGGGAAGAUGGAGCGAGCAAUCGUUCGGACGGUACCUCCAGAAGCAGCCACGGCCAACUUCGUGCCAGCAGCCGC
rnacentral:rRNA from 1 species